UUUUGCUGAUAAAGAAAGGAAAAAGCCAGUGAAGAAAGUGGGAUAUAAAAGCAGGAUUCCUGAGAGGGGGGCCGCCUGCCCCAUCCCCACGCUCCCGCCCCACACAGGCUCAUGCUGCAGCCCCCUCGGGAACCCUGCUCGGGCACAUCAGCCCGACCUGGUGACAAACCACACACAGAGAAUGAUUCCUCCAGCAGUCACAGAGGUUAUGUUCACUGGCAUCCUUCCACGGCUCCUUUGUGAAAAAAAGAAGAGCCCUUUCUAAUCACUGCAAAUGACUCAUCUAUGAGCAGCCUUCGUCCUCGUCCUCUGCCUCGCCGUGGCUCCGGCGUGCGAGGGAGCAGCGUGAGCAGGCAGCGUGAGCCCUGCCUGCCCUGCCAGCUCCUGCAGCACCCCAGGGGCUGAGGCAUCGCAUCAUGGGGCCACCCACCCCAGCCACAGGAGCAGGCACCCAGCAGCACAGCUGAAAGCCACCUUGUUGGCCCCUCUCCCCACCACGGCAGCCAGCGCUCAGCCCCUCACCCCCCAUCUUGCCAGCUGCAGACCUGCAUGGAGGGAUUCGGGGUGAAGCUUAAGCCUCAGCUGCUUUGCAAAGUGCAAUGAGUCCUGCUCAAGAGCCUGGGCUGCUCCAUGCGCAGGAUUUGGCCCACGGAGCCCCGUUAGUGUAGUGCCAAUGGGGCUCAGCUCCCUGCACCAGUGCCCUGCAUCCUCCCCCAGGGGCACCGGGCUGUGAUCUGAUCUGAAAGGCUUCUUGCUCACACGCAGCAUGAAAAUUCAAGGUCUCUCUGAUAUUUUUUCUCUCUCCCUGUUUCUCCUGCUUUCUAUUUUUAUAAAUAAUACCUGGUCUAGAACUGAACAGAAUACCAAGCGUGCAAUUAAAUCCCCGAGCGCCAGCACUGCCUUUGAGGAGGGCUUCGAAGCAUCUCUUUCUGGAGGCGGCGAUGCCACAGAAAAGCCGCAGCUGGCUCAGACCCUCACAGAGGAGCAGAAGCGCUUAGCAGGGCCUGACCCUGCUUCAGCUGCCUCCAGAGCCUGGGCACAACCCUGGAUACCCUCGCUGGAGAUGGGACUGGACCCAUGCAUCACCCCUGAGCUGCACCCCACUGCCCCCAGGACCAGGGCUCACCCCCCUAAUUUCUUUGAUCUCAACUCCCAUUAAUGCCAGGGAACUGGGGUGGGAGCAAUCGCUCUACCCGCCUGCUGUGAGCUGGCUUAAGCGCUGCGUUGCUGGAAGGCAAAACCGAGCAGAAUUAAGAGUUCUGAGCAAGGAGAAUAAUGCACAUUCCGCAUGUGCAAAGUUGGGAGAGAAAACCUGGGGCGUGGUUGUUUUUUUCUUGCACAAAACCAUAUUCAUGCUGCUCUGAUGUACCUCAGGGGGGCUGAUAUCCACCCAGGUCGGGCAGAAUGAGCCCUUUGCUCCCGCUCUGCUCCCAGCUCCCGGCGAUGGAGGCAGCUGGGCUGAGCACGAGGCAGAGCGUGGGGCGCUGGUGACAGUCGCAACUGCCUUAGAGCUACCCCAGGGCUGCUCUAGUGCCAUCAGGCUUGGGCAUGGCAGUGCCCGAGGCUAGACAACGGGGCCAAAACCCAACGGCAGUGUGACCUGGACACAGAGCCAGGGUGAUCCAGGGAAAUGGGUGGGAUUACAGCUCUGUAAAUCAGAUGGGCGCUGGGGGAAAUGCUCCCCGCUGGAGCUCCAGCCAGCUCCCCGACGCUGGCAGGCAGCUCAGGAGGAGGAAGGCUGCGGGGUUGCCAUGACAAUCAAGCAUCUACAAAUUCUUGGAUUAUUUAUCUUCGGUUUUCUUUUGGCUGAGUGAAAGCAAGUCUUGCUUCUGGGCUAAGGGCUAUCAGCAGGCUGCGGGCACAAGGGAAACGAGUCUGGGAGCUCAGCCCAUUGUUCCGUAGCACAGAAAUGCACUUCAUAGAAGAUAAGACAUAAAAUUAAAGGCAUGUCUGCAAGUCGCCUGCUCAGCUCCAAAAAGGAGACCUUUACCAAAAAGAAGAGCUCACAAGUAUGAACUCUAACAAAAGAUGUUGAGUUGUGGCUGGUUUAUUUGCCGUUCUACUUCGCAGACACCCUGUAGCCCCAGAUCUCCCACGGGUCUACAAUUAUCUGGCACCACGAGGCCACGUUGUUAAAUCUGGCACAUGCAAUAGAGGUUUAGGCUUCUUUAGUUAAUUUUGAUGCCAGGAUAGAUUUAGAUGGGGCCCUAGAUUUGCCUGCGGGACCUGAAUUGCUGCUGGAUGGCUGUCUGCUAGGAACGCUUUCCAAAGCAAUUUCCCAAAUUCAGGAGAGGUGAUUGAAUGAUAUUCUGAUUUAUGGUAUUUCACGCCACUGCCUCGCUCCCUUGCUGCAGCACCAGAGCAUCGCACACGCUUUGAGCCGUAUCGAGCUGCAAGUUCCUUUGCAAAGACUCAGUCGGUGUCCUGUGUCUGGGGCUCAGCCCACCGCGGCCGGGCUGACGGCACUUGCAGAAAUUAAAGAUUCUUGAUGCGGAGCCUGAGCUCGUUCCAGAUGUCUCUCUGCAAAUCUGCUGUCACUCAGGCUAUGGAAAACAUGGAAACCAUGGGGAGGUUUGGAGCUGCCGGUGGCUGCGAGCUUCUAGGCGAGGUGUAAAACAAAACGAGUGUCACGUCUAGAGCCGGGAGAGACCUGAGCGUUUACCAGCCCGUGCCACCCGCUGUCAGCUUCCAGCCUCCUCCCCCUUUACAGGAACCAUGGCUGUAAUUGCUCGAGUCUAAUAACCGAUUCUUUUUGAUACCUUCAGUGUCACUGUUAUGUAAAUCCCAGUGUAAGGAUGCUGUAUAUUUUAUGGAUCGUGUGUUUGCUGAUGUCCCCGAGUGUGUGUAGCUAAAGGGAUACCUUUGAUUGUCGGAUCAAAGCAUCGUGAGAAAUGUUAAGGACACCAUGAGCAAAGAAAAACUCAAGGAAAUCAGGAGCCUGUGGUUAAAUUGAUUUGAUUUUGCCAAUAGAGGUCAGUAUGAAGUAUUAAGGCUCCUGAAAUCGUACAAAGAAAUCCCAUUACUCAAGGAACAGACAGGCUAUUUUCAGAGAGGAAAUGAUGGGAGGGAGCGAGCGAGCGAGGGAAAGGUGGCCAGAGCCAAGGAGCUCAAGGUGGUUUAGGAGGAGAUGUUGUACUUAUAAAUGGAAAUGUUCUGGAUGCAAACUCCAAGUGGGUGGAGCUGGGAGCCUGAGCAGUGCUUUGCUCGAAGGGGCCCGUAUCUCUUGCGAGGCAGCUCACGGUCAGACCAUCGCUGGUCUCACCAGAUGAUGAGAGGUCCAGAAAGAGCCACGGCAAU